rnacentral:rRNA from 1 species
UACGGGGGGGGCAAGCGUUGUUCGGAUUCAUUGGGCGUAAAGGGUGCGUAGGCGGCGUGGUAAGUCGGAUGUGAAAUCUCGGAGCUUAACUCCGAAACUGCAUUCGAUACUGCCGUGCUUGAGGACUGGAGAGGAGACUGGAAUUUACGGUGUAGCAGUGAAAUGCGUAGAUAUCGUAAGGAAGACCAGUGGCGAAGGCGGGUCUCUGGACAGUUCCUGACACUGAGACACGAAGGCCAGGGGAGCAAACGGG